UACGGGGGGGGGCAAGCGUUGUUCGGAAUUACUGGGCGUAAAGGGCUCGUAGGUGGCCAACUAAGUCAGACGUGAAAUCCCUCGGCUUAACCGGGGAACUGCGUCCAAGACUGGGAGGCUUGAAUCCGGGAGAGGGAUGCGGAAUUCCAGGUGUAGCGGUGAAAUGCGUAGAUAUCUGGAGGAACACCGGUGGCGAAGGCGGCAUCCUGGACCGGUAUUGACACUGAGGCGCGAAAGCCAGGGGAGCAAACGGG
rnacentral:rRNA from 1 species